rnacentral:lncRNA from 1 species
GACGUUCGUUGUGAUCACGGGACGUGAGGAAUUAGGCUCUGCUACUGGAGGGGGAGGAACCUCUUCUCGAUGGGAAGAGUGCCUCGUUGAUCCGGUUGCAAUCGAGUGUUGGGCCCUGAUUUUUAUCAUAGUGAAUACGAUCUCUUCCCCCUUCCUAGCGCACCAAUCUGUUGCGGCCAACUCCCCAUCGCCUGUCGUCGGAAAGGAAUACCUGCAAGACAGC